UGUACAACUCUUAUCGAUAAACCUUUGGAGGGCAAGUGUGGUGCCAUCAGCCGCGGUAAUUCCAGCUCCAAUAGCGUAUAUUAACGUUGUUGCAGUUAAAAAGCACGUAGUUGAAUUGUGAUUGAUCCUGACUGAGUAACUUCGGUCAGUCAGAAGUUUACUACCCCCAUCCACUCUCCCGCAGUGGGUAUUCAAUUACUUACUAUUGUGUGUUGGUCCUAUGCUGCGAGAAAGUUUAAUUGUUUAAAUCAUGCGUUUUCAAUGUAGCAAGCAUACGCAAAGAUAUCAGACUUAAUUGGAAGCGCGGAUUUACUCUGCGAUUUGAUUGUGCGAUCUCGGAUCAUGGAAGCAAGGUUAAAAGGAACAGUAGGGGGUAUUCAUAUUCACUACUUA
rnacentral:rRNA from 1 species